rnacentral:rRNA from 1 species
UACGGAGGGUGCAAGCGUUAUCCGGAUUCACUGGGUUUAAAGGGUGCGUAGGUGGAUUAGUAAGUCAGUGGUGAAAUCUCUGGGCUUAACUCAGAAACUGCCAUUGAUACUAUUAGUCUUGAAUACCGUGGAGGUCAGCGGAAUAUGUCAUGUAGCGGUGAAAUGCUUAGAUAUGACAUAGAACACCAAUUGCGAAGGCAGCUGGCUACACGAAUAUUGACACUGAGGCACGAAAGCGUGGGGAGCAAACAGG